rnacentral:rRNA from 1 species
GGAAAGGCGCGCGAUACAGGGUGACAGCCCCGUACACAAAAAUGCACAUGCUGUGAGCUCGAUGAGUAGGGCGGGACACGUGGUAUCCUGUCUGAAUAUGGGGGGACCAUCCUCCAAGGCUAAAUACUCCUGACUGACCGAUAGUGAACCAGUACCGUGAGGGAAAGGCGAAAAGAACCCCGGCGAGGGGAGUGAAAAAGAACCUGAAACCGUGUACGUACAAGCAGUGGGAGCACGCUUAGGCGUGUGACUGCGUACCUUUUGUAUAAUGGGUCAGCGACUUAUAUUCUGUAGCAAGGUUAACCGAAUAGGGGAGCCGAAGGGAAACCGAGUCUUAACUGGGCGUUAAGUU